AACGAACGCUGGCGGCAGGCUUAACACAUGCAAGUCGAACGAACGUAGCAAUACGUUAGUGGCGCACGGGUGAGUAACACGUGGAUAUCUGCCUUUUGGUUCGGGAUAACCCUGGGAAACUAGGGCUAAUACCGAAUGGUUCCUACGGGAUAAAGAUUUAUCGCCAAAAGAUGAGUCCGCGUCCGAUUAGCUAGUUGGUGGGGUAAUGGCUCACCAAGGCGACGAUCGGUAGCUGGUCUGAGAGGACGAUCAGCCACACUGGGACUGAGACACGGCCCAGACUCCUACGGGAGGCAGCAGUGGGGAAUAUUGGACAAUGGGGGCAACCCUGAUCCAGCCAUGCCGCGUGAGUGAUGAAGGCCUUCGGUUGUAA
rnacentral:rRNA from 1 species